AUUCCUUCUUGAUUGAUACUGGCUAUAGUUAUCUUUUAUUUCAUCCUUUGGGAACUUUGAACUUUGUUUGGAUAAGUCUGUGUUCUCUUGGUUGGCUUCUCCUUACCCCUAAACUACGGUCGGGGUCCUUUAUUUGCUGCCUGUCAUUUCCUCUGUUCCUGUUUUUGUUGAUGGUGUCACAGCCUUUUCACUACUUGGGUGACUUAAUUUAUUGCUGUAGAACACCACCAUGAUCAAGGCAACUUGUAAGAAAAAGCAUUUAGUUGAAGGCUUGCUUAUAGUGUCAGUGGGUUAGCCCAUGACCAUCACUGUGAGGAGAAUGGGGGCAAGCAGGCAGGCCUGGUGCCUGAACUAAGCAAUUACAUCCUAAUUCACAAGCGUGUGCAUGGCAUGGGCUUUUGAAACCUCAAAGCCCGCUCUGAGUGACACAUCUCCAACAAGGCCACACAUCCCAAUCCUUCCUAAAUAGUCCACCAAUUGGGAGCCAAACAUUUUAAACAACAGUGGCCAACAAAGUCUAUCUUCUUAUACUCAGGGUUCAUCGGGUUCUUUGAGUCUCCAUUUGGUCACUUCCCUUCUGUCCAUUUCUAACAUUUUGUUUACCAUCAGGCUUUAUCCGUAGAUAGUCUCACUCAUCUCUUUGCCUGUCUUCUGUGACUCUUGGUGCUUCAUUUGUUUCUUGUGUCCUGCAGAACAAGAUUCCAUUUUCUUGUCAUCAUUGGAGCUUUAUUAUGACAAUCGGCUGUGCACCAGCUUAACUCAGACACAGCAGAGCCUUGUCCUUCUCAGUGGAAAAGCCCUGGGACGUGUGUGUGUGUGUGUGUGUGUGUGUGUGUGUGUGUGUGUGUUGGAGACCAAAGGUCAACACUGGAGACACCUACUCUGUUUUUCAAGACUGAUUCUCUCACUAGGACAUGGAACUUACAGAUGAGGCGGGGCUGACUGGCCAGGGAGCCACAAGGGUUCAGUUUUCUCUGCCUUCCCAGUGUUGGGCGUAUAAGCAAGUGCCACCAUAACUUGACUUUUUACAUGGAUUCUGGGGUUGAAUUCAGGCCUUCAUGCUGGUAUUGAAAACACUUUACUGAUUGAGCCAUCUCUCCUCCCCAAGACUUUUGAAUCGUAAAUCUGUUGAAUUUUCACCUCUAUAAAACAUCUUCUCAGGGCAUUUCAUCACUUUCUUUAAUGUUCUUUUUACUUUGCUUCAUUAACACAACCAGCAUUUGACUUUAAUUUGGUAGCAAUUAUUUAUGAAUUUUGAAUUCAUGAAGAUGGAUAGUGAGGAUAGAAGGAUGGAGAGACAUUUAGUCCUUAAGGCAGACCAUUCUGAGUACUCUGGAAGAGCUGGUUAAAUGACCUCAGUGAUUUCUUCAACCUCUACCUAGCAGUGAUUUUUUUUUUUUU